GUGUUCUUUCUCCCGUACAGACAGAACCAGCAAAACACCGAGCUGCGCCCUGCUGAUGGUCAAAUCCGCUCGGAAAUAACAAACCAACCCGGGGCUCCCAGGGGCAAAACGUUUGUGCAGUGUGCACCGUUUGCUUAUCACGGUCCAGCCCAAGUGGUGAAGCUUGCUAUAAGCUUGCUAAACACUGCCGCACUGAGGAAUAGUUAAGCGCCAGCCGAGCAACAUUGCAUUCCACGAACACUCUUCUUCAACAAACAAGCACAGUUUAUUUAAAAAAAAACAAGCACUUUAACUCCGGGAGAAAAUCAAAACAAGCUCAGCACAUCCCACGCAACAAAAUGGACCAGGCAACAAAAGCUACCACUUGGAAGCAGAACCGAACAGCCCGGAAAGCUGGAGAAAGUAAGUUCAACUCACCGCUGCUGCUGCAGCAAUUGCCAUUGCCCAGGCUCAUGAAUAAUCGAUCGACGGCUAUUUCGUGCACAAGCAAUGUACCUCCAAUUGCGAAGUAGUUUAAUUUAGUACGAUCAAACAACCAUUGUGUAGUAAAAUCUGUAUCACUGUACCAUGGCGAUCGAAAGACAAUUGUGUGAACAACUUAACGAAAACUGUUUCCUUGAGAAAAAUAAAAAAAAAAUAAUCCAUCAACA